rnacentral:rRNA from 1 species
UACGUAGGGGGCAAGCGUUGUCCGGAAUCAUUGGGCGUAAAGCGCGUGUAGGCGGCUGGGUAAGUCCGCUCUGAAAGCCCGGGGCUCAACCCCGGGAGGCGGGUGGAUACUGCUCAGCUCGAGUCCGGAAGAGGAGUGUGGAAUUCCUGGUGUAGCGGUGAAAUGCGCAGAUAUCAGGAAGAACACCAAUGGCGAAAGCAGCUUUCUGGGACGGUACUGACGCUGAGACGCGAAAGCGUGGGGAGCGAACAGG